rnacentral:rRNA from 1 species
AGAUUGAACGCUGGCGGCAUGCCUAACACAUGCAAGUCGAACGGCAGCACAGCAGAGCUUGCUCUGUGGGUGGCGAGUGGCGGACGGGUGAGUAAUGCAUCGGGACCUACCCAGACGUGGGGGAUAACGUAGGGAAACUUACGCUAAUACCGCAUACGUCCUACGGGAGAAAGCGGGGGACCUUCGGGCCUCGCGCGGUUGGACGGACCGAUGUUCGAUUAGCUAGUUGGUAAGGUAAUGGCUUACCAAGACGAUGAUCGGUA